UCGUGCGAGAAAGGGGACUUCGGUCCCUGAGUAGAGCGGCGCACGGGUGAGUAACGCGUGGAUAAUCUCCCCAGAAGUUCGGGAUAACGGCGGGAAACUGCCGCUAAUACCGGAUACGCUCCAAUUUCGGUUGGGGGAAAGGCGGCCUCUGUUUACAAGCUGUCGCUUCUGGAUGAGUCCGCGUCCCAUUAGCUUGUUGGUGGGGUAAUGGCCUACCAAGGCUACGAUGGGUAGCUGGUCUGAGAGGAUGAUCAGCCACACUGGAACUGAAACACGGUCCAGACUCCUACGGGAGGCAGCAGUGGGGAAUAUUGCGCAAUGGGGGAAACCCUGACGCAGCGACGCCGUGUGAGGGAUGAAGGCUUUCGGGUCGUAAACCUCUGUCGGGAGGGAAGAACCUUCUAAGUCCUAAUAAGGCAUUUGAACUGACGUACCUC
rnacentral:rRNA from 1 species